rnacentral:rRNA from 1 species
UACAGAGGGUGCAAGCGUUGUUCGGAAUUAUUGGGCGUAGAGCGCGUGUAGGCGGCUUUGCAAGUCGGGUGUGAAAGCCCUCAGCUCAACUGAGGAAGUGCGCCCGAAACUGCAGAGCUUGAGUACCGGAGAGGAUGGCGGAAUUCCCCAAGUAGAGGUGAAAUUCGUAGAUAUGGGGAGGAACACCGGUGGCGAAGGCGGCCAUCUGGACGGAUACUGACGCUGAGACGCGAAAGCGUGGGUAGCAAACAGG